rnacentral:rRNA from 1 species
GCGUAUAUUAAAGUUGUUGCAGUUAAAAAGCUCGUAGUCGGAUGUCGGGCUCGGGCAGGCUGUCGGCUUCGGUCGGACGGCAGGCUCGGGUCUUUCUGCCUGAGGAUCCCGUUGCACUUAAUUGUGGGGCGUGGGGACGCAGGCCGUUUACUUUGAAAAAAUUAGAGUGUUCAAAGCAGGCCUACGCUUGAAUACAUUAGCAUGGAAUAAUGGAAUAGGACUUUGGUGCUAUUUUGUUGGUUUAUGGGACCGAAGUAAUGAUUAACAGGGACAGUUGGGGCUGUUUAUAUUUCGUUGUCAGAGGUGAAAUUCUUGGAUUUACGAAAGAUAAACUUCUGCGAAAGCAUUCGGCAAGGAUGUUUUCAUUGAUCAAGAACGAAAGUUAGGGGAUCGAAGACGAUCAGAUACCGUCGUAGUCUUAACCAUAAACUAUGCCGACUAGGGAUCAGUGGAUGUCAAUUUGCGACUCCAUUGGCACCUAGUGAGAAAUCAAAGUUUUUGGGUUCCGGGGGGAGUAUGGUCGCAAGGCUGAAACUUAAAGGAAU